rnacentral:tRNA from 1 species
UGGGCUGUGGCUCAGUGGUAGAGCGUCUGCCUAACAUGUGUGAAGCACUAAUUCAUUCUUAGCACUGCAUGUAAAUAAAUAAAUUAAAUAAAGGCCCAUUGGCAACUAAAAAUAUAUUAAAAAAAUAAAAUCUCAACUCCCAGAGACAAGGCACUAGGACCAUAUGCAUUCAGUGACUAUCCUUGGGGUUAAUGGCAUAAGGCAGCCUUGGUUCAAAUCCUGUUUAGCUGCUUAU